GUUUUUCCGGGUCACUGCACAAAGGCAAGUUUGUCAGUUUGUUUUACAAGGAGUGAUAAAAUGAUGAUAUGGACUAAAAAACUAUUCGAUGAUUAAACUGUAUCCUGGGUUAUUUCUGGUGAUUUUUCAAGUGGUUCAUUGUCUCGUUUUGUAACGGAAUAUGAGUAUAUGUCUCUAUAAUUUCCGGAGAGCACUCGUAUAUAUGGAACACAAUUAUAAACCAUGGUAUACUUUGAAAAUGGCAUAGAUGAAUGAAGAAGAAAACGUUUAACGACCACUGAACUCGGGAUACAUAAUGAACAGUAACACAACGUAUGGAUAUUUUCCUACAUGGCAGUGAUUGUACAUCAUCCACCUCUGAAUCAGGCCUAGGAUUGUUUGCCAUCAUUUUGAUAUCAGCUGUUGCGACAUGUGUUUGUCCUUGCUUCUGCUUCUGUUGUUACAAAAGGGGCUUUAGACAGGGUUUCAAAUCAAUUCUAAAGAAUGUUCAGCAAGAAGAGGAGGCUCAGUACCAAGGUCAAAAUACUAGUAAUGAGAUUUCUGCCGAACACCACGCUUACGAAAAACCUCGCCCACCGACCAAUGAAACUUCACAGAACCAUGAAUUAGAAUUAUCAGCGUAUGAGGAGGUCAAGGGAAACCAAAUUGAAGAGUGUCAGUAUCAGAGAAUUGAUGAAGGUGUGUAUUUAACACCGGUCUCUCAACAACACCCUCUUCCGUCUGUUGGAGCUGGGAAUUAAGAGUGUGCGUAUACAUAGGCUACGGGUCCACUAUACACAUGGAAAACAACAUAAAGCUGUUUGGGUUUUUUUUGGCAAUGAUUAACAUUCUGUCACAUUGUUGUUGCAUGAUGUUUCGCAAGAAACGAAAUCAAGAAAAGAUUAGUUACAUUUCAUUUACAAAUGAUUGAAAAAACCAGAUAUAUACACAAAUACUUAAUCCAGAGUAUAUGGAACGCUGGAAAAUGUAAUUUUUUGAAAAGUCUUAAAUAGUUCUAUUGUUGUUGCUUAGUGUGCAUUGAACAUGUGUAAAAUGUAUUUAUUGGUACAAAUUGAAGUAGCUUAUAAAAGGUCAAUUUUAUCAAAAUU
rnacentral:sRNA from 1 species